GAUGAAAUAAUGUAGACAAAGAAAGUCAGCAAAAUAGAUUCGUAACUUCGAAAAAAGGAUUGGCUUUGGGAGCAGGGCACGGGGGUCUUAGUCCUGAACCCUUCGGCCGUCGGUGGACUGAUCGAGCUACUCACAUAGCGAGAGUGGUUCGUCGUGUUCUGGCCGAGGGAUAGACUGGGAAUGUUCCUUCAGGGGCCUUCCCCGCUCGUGCAACAGCCAACUCGUAAAAUUGAACAAUAGAUAUUCACACAAUGUGAUUUCUGCCUAGUGCUAUGAAUGUCAAAGUGAAGAAAUUCAACCAAGUGCGGGUAAAUGGCGGGGGUGACUAUGACUCUUUUAAGGUAGAUAAAUGUCCCUUCAUCUAAUUGGUGACAUGCAUAAAUGUAUUAACGAGAUUCCCACUACCCUUGUCUACUAUCCAGGGAAACCACAACCAAGGGAAUGGGCUUGGAAAAAUUAGCGGGGAAAGAUGACCCUGUUGAGCUUGAUGAUAUGUGAGCAAAAGCUAACACAUUUAAUACUUUUUAGCUCAAAAUAAUUGCAAAGUCUUAAGAAACUUUUGUUUUUUUUUAUUAUUAUUUU
rnacentral:ncRNA from 1 species